UACGUAGGGUGCGAGCGUUGUCCGGAAUUAUUGGGCGUAAAGGGCUCGUAGGCGGUUUGUCGCGUCGGGAGUGAAAUCCACUGGCUUAACUGGUGGCUUGCUUUCGAUACGGGCAGACUGGAGGUAUGCAGGGGAGAACGGAAUUCCUGGUGUAGCGGUGGAAUGCGCAGAUAUCAGGAGGAACGCCGGUGGCGAAGGCGGGUCUCUGGGCAGUAACUGACGCUGAGAAGCGAAAGCGUGGGGAGCGAACAGG
rnacentral:rRNA from 1 species